rnacentral:tRNA from 1 species
AAAGAUUAUAAUAAGAAGCUGCUAACUUCUUUAAAAUGUUAUCAUUUAAUCUUUU